rnacentral:rRNA from 1 species
CCCUUAGAUGUUCUGGGCCGCACGCGUGCUACACUCAGUGGAUCAGCGGGUCAGGUUGCGCGAAAGUGUUUCCUAAUCUUGAAAUCCGCUCGUGAUGGGGAUUGACGGUUGCAAUUUUCCGUCAUGAACGAGGAAUACCUUGUAAGCGCGGGUCAUCAUCCCGCGCUGAAUACGUCCCUGCCCUUUGUACACACCGCCCGUCGCUCCUACCGAUUGAGUGGUCCGGUGAGGCUUUGGGAUCUGAGCGGAAAGAGCGUUUCGCUGUUUCUGCUCGGAAAACUCAGUCGAACCUUAUCAUUUAGAGGAAGGAGAAGUCGUAACA